rnacentral:rRNA from 1 species
GACGAACGCUGGCGGCGUGCUUAACACAUGCAAGUCGAACGGAAAGGCCCUGCUUUUGUGGGGUGCUCGAGUGGCGAACGGGUGAGUAACACGUGAGUAACCUGCCCUUGACUUUGGGAUAACUUCAGGAAACUGGGUCUAAUACCGGAUAGGAGCUCCUGCUGCAUGGUGGGGGUUGGAAAGUUUCGGCGGUUGGGGAUGGACUCGCGGCUUAUCAGCUUGUUGGUGGGGUAGUGGCUUACCAAGGCUUUGACGGGUAGCCGGCCUGGGAGGGUGACCGGCCACAUUGGGACUGAGAUACGGCCCAGACUCCUACGGGAGGCAGCAGUGGGGAAUAUUGCACAAUGGGAGGAAGCCUGAUGCAGCAACGCCGCGUGCGGGAUGACGGCCUUCGGGUUGUAAACCGCUUUCGCCUGUGACGAAGCGUGAGUGACGGUAAUGGGUAAAGAAGCACCGGCUAACUACGUG